rnacentral:rRNA from 1 species
GAUGAACGCUAGCGGCGGGCUUAAUACAUGCAAGUCAAGGAGUAGCAAUACACCGGCGUACGGGUGCGUAACGCGUAUGGAACCUGCCCUUAUCUGGGGGAUAACUCGGGGAAACUCGAGCUAAUACCGCAUAAGAUAGUAGAGAGGCAUCUUUCAGCUAUUAAAGAUUUAUCGGAUAAGGAUGGCCAUGCGUAAGAUUAGAUAGUUGGCGAGGUAACGGCUCACCAAGUCUACGAUCUUUAGGGGCUCUGAGAGGAGAAUCCCCCACACUGGCACUGAGAUACGGGCCAGACUCCUACGGGAGGCAGCAGUAGGGAAUAUUGGGCAAUGGGGCGGAAGCCUGACCCAGCCACGCCGCGUGCAGGAAGACGGUCCUCUGGGUUGUAAACUGCUUUUAACUGGGAAGAAAGCAGCUCAUGCGUGAGAAUUUGACGGUACCAGUUGAAUAAGCCACGGCUAACUACGUGCCAGCAGCCGCGGUAAU